GGAUUAGAUACCCUGGUAGUCCACGCCGUAAACGAUGUCUACUAGCCGUUGGGAGACUUGAUCUUUUAGUGGCGCAGCUAACGCGAUAAGUAGACCGCCUGGGGAGUACGGCCGCAAGGUUAAAACUCAAAUGAAUUGACGGGGGCCCGCACAAGCGGUGGAGCAUGUGGUUUAAUUCGAAGCAACGCGAAGAACCUUACCAACUCUUGACAUCCUGCGAACUUGCUAGAGAUAGCUUGGUGCCUUCGGGAACGCAGAGACAGGUGCUGCAUGGCUGUCGUCAGCUCGUGCCG
rnacentral:rRNA from 1 species